GAUGAACGCUAGCUACAGGCUUAACACAUGCAAGUCGAGGGGCAGCAUGGUCUUAGCUUGCUAAGGCCGAUGGCGACCGGCGCACGGGUGAGUAACACGUAUCCAACCUGCCGUCUACUCUUGGACAGCCUUCUGAAAGGAAGAUUAAUACAAGAUGGCAUCAUGAGUCCGCAUGUUCACAUGAUUAAAGGUAUUCCGGUAGACGAUGGGGAUGCGUUCCAUUAGAUAGUAGGCGGGGUAACGGCCCACCUAGUCUUCGAUGGAUAGGGGUUCUGAGAGGAAGGUCCCCCACAUUGGAACUGAGACACGGUCCAAACUCGUACGGGAGGCAGGAGUGAGGAAUAUUGGGCAAUGGGCGCAGGCCUGAACCAGCCAAGUAGCGUGAAGGAUGACUGCCCUAGGGGUUGUAAACUUCUUUUAUAAAGGAAUAAAGUCGGGUAUGUAUACCCGUUUGCAUGUACUUUAUGAAUAAGGAUCGGCUAACUCCGUG
rnacentral:rRNA from 1 species